rnacentral:rRNA from 1 species
UACAGAGGGCUCAAGCGUUGUUCGGAUUCAUUGGGCGUAAAGGGUGCGUAGGCGGCGUGGUAAGUCGGGUGUGAAAUUUCGGAGCUUAACUCCGAAACUGCAUUCGAUACUGCGGUGCUUGAGGACUGGAGAGGAGACUGGAAUUCAUGGUGUAGCAGUGAAAUGCGUAGAGAUCAUGAGGAAGACCAGUGGCGAAGGCGGGUCUCUGGACAGUUCCUGACACUGAGGCGCGAAGGCCUGGGGAGCAAACGGG